rnacentral:rRNA from 1 species
GAUGAACGCUGGCGGCGUGCUUAACACAUGCAAGUCGAACGGAAAGGCCCCAGCUUGCUGGGGUACUCGAGUGGCGAACGGGUGAGUAACACGUGGGUGAUCUGCCCUGCACUUUGGGAUAAGCUUGGGAAACUGGGUCUAAUACCGAAUAUGACCACUGCUUGGAUGUUGUGGUGGAAAGCUUUUGCGGUGUGGGAUGAGCCUGCGGCCUAUCAGCUUGUUGGUGGGGUAAUGGCCUACCAAGGCGGCGACGGGUAUCGGGCCUGAGAGGGUGUACGGACACAUUGGGACUGAGAUACGGCCCAGACUCCUACGGGAGGCAGCAGUGGGGAAUAUUGCACAAUGGGCGCAAGCCUGAUGCAGCGACGCCGCGUGGGGGAUGAAGGCCUUCGGGUUGUAAACUCCUUUCGCUAUCGACGAAGCCACUUGUGGUGACGGUAGGUAGAUAAGAAGCACCGGCUUACUACGUGCCAGCAGCCGCCGUAA